CGAUGGUUAGUUAUUAUCGUUAAUUUGUGUUUUUAGCCCCAAAUUGUAUUGACCCUCAUUAAUUGUGGACUCCCUCGCGGGCUCCCUCUAGCGGUGUGCAGUAAUUCUCUGAUACAGCGGGGCAGAUGGGGAGUGUGUAGUCUCUCUAUAAACCGGUUCUGUCUCGAUUCAGCCGCGUGAGUAAAGCAAUUAUUUGGAAAUUGACUCCUUCAGUUCAGCGUUCACAACAAAUAUAAACGCGUUCAGUGAGCGGAGAUUGGUGCUUAGUGAUAAUUUAGUGUUUAGAGUUCAUUUGACAUGAUAUUGGUAAAAUAAGAUGAAUGUCACCCUUGUAGAGUUUAGUUUUUUCAUGUUUUAAAGGAAACAACAUCAGUUCCAGCUUCCUCCACGAGAUGGCCGUGUAUGCCUAAAAGAACUGCAUCCAAGAACUGAAGCACAGGACAGAUUUGUCCAUCCAUUUAUCUAUCCAUGCAUCUAUCCAGCAAUCUUCUUAUCAACUUCUAACUGUUGGAGUUGCAGUUGGUCUGGAGCCUACCCAGAAUUAUUGAGCACAAUGCAGGAAGACCCCAGGCAGAAUAAACUCCUGACACAACUCAUAUUUUUGUUUUUUUGGGAAUGACUUGGGACCUAACCACAGAUCUCAUUGAUAAAAAGCACUUUAGUCGUCUAGUGGUUGAGUUUGAGGUUUAACUCAAAGACAUGACUGCGGGGCAGACGUGGCAGGGAGCCAAAUUGCUGGAGCCAUCACAGGUGCAGGAGAAGAAGCAGCAUUUGUAGAACGGGCCAUAACAUCCUCUGUUUGUCACCUAUUCCCUGCAACAAUGCCCCAGCCUCAGCACAGGCUGCCAUGGAUGUCAUAUCUGGGUUCCACCGGAGGAGCCUUUGUAGUUCCUUCUUUGUAGUUUUGUGGGGACUACUUCCAGCCUCAUGGGCCAGCUCUGAAUAAAGAAACGAGGCAGGAGGUGGCA
rnacentral:lncRNA from 1 species